rnacentral:rRNA from 1 species
CCUUACGGGUAGAUCUCCCACCCUUGAAACUAUACCUUUGUUGCUUUGGCGGGCCGCCUCGGCUACCGGCUUCGGCUGGUAAGUGCCCGCCAGAGGACCCCUAAACUCUGAAUGUUAAUGUCGUCUGAGUACUAUAUAAUAGUUAAAACUUUCAACAACGGAUCUCUUGGUUCUGGCAUCGAUGAAGAACGCAGCGAAAUGCGAUAAGUAAUGUGAAUUGCAGAAUUCAGUGAAUCAUCGAAUCUUUGAACGCACAUUGCGCCCCUUGGUAUUCCGAGGGGCAUGCCUGUUCGAGCGUCAUUAUAACCCUCAAGCCUAGCUUGGUGUUGGGGCUUGCUGUUACCGGCAGCCCUUAAAACUAGUGGCGGAGCCACCUGGCUCUAAGCGUAGUAAUACUUCUCGCUAUAGAGUCCCGGUGGAUGCUUGCCAUCAACCCCUAAUUUUCUAUGGUUGACCUCGGAUCAGGUAGGGAUACCCGCUGAACUUAAGCAUAUCAAUAAGCGGAGGAAAAGAAACCAACAGGGAUUGCCUCAGUAACGGCGAGUGAAGCGGCAACAGCUCAAAUUUGAAAUCUGGCUCUUUCAGGGUCCGAGUUGUAAUUUGUAGAAGAUGCUUCGGGUGUAGCUCCGGUCUAAGUUCCUUGGAACAGGACGUCAUAGAGGGUGAGAAUCCCGUAUGUGACUGGGUGCUUUCGCUCAUGUGAAGCUCUUUCGACGAGUCGAGUUGUUUGGGAAUGCAGCUCAAAAUGGGUGGUAAAUUUCAUCUAAAGCUAAAUAUUGGCCAGAGACCGAUAGCGCACAAGUAGAGUGAUCGAAAGAUGAAAAGCACUUUGGAAAGAGAGUU